rnacentral:rRNA from 1 species
CAAUAGCGUAUAUUAAAGUUGUUGCGGUUAAAAAGUUCGUAGUUGGAUUUCUGCCAAGGACGACCGGUCCGCCCUCUGGGUGAGUAUCUGGCUUGGCCUCGGCAUCUUCUUGGAGAACGUUGCUGCACUUCGCUGUGUGGCGCGGUAUCCAGGACCUUUACUUUGAGGAAAUUAGAGUGUUUCAAGCAGGCAUCCGCCUUGAAUACAUUAGCAUGGAAUAAUAAGAUAGGACCUCGGUUCUAUUUUGUUGGUUUCUAGAGCUGGGGUAAUGAUUAAUAGGGAUAGUUGGGGGCAUUAAUAUUUAGUUGUCAGAGGUGAAAUUCUUAGAUUUACAAAAGAUUAACUUCUGCGAAAGCAUUUGCCAAGGAUGUUUUCGUUAA